CGCCCCACGGGCGCGGGCGACGCCCCCCGGCACUCCCGCCCCCCUCGGCGCGUCGCCCAGCACCGCCUCGCCCCGCACCGGGGGGCGCCCCCCUCACCGCUCCGCCUCCGCUCGCCCCCGGGGCCGCUCCCCUCAGCGCCUCGCCCCUCACGCAAGGGCCGCUCCCCUCAGCGCUUCACCUCCCUUCACCCAAAAGCCCUUUUCCUCAGCCCCUCGCCCGUGAGCUGCUCCCUGGGCGCCUUAUCCCCAGGGGAGGCCGUUCCCCUCAGAGUGUCCCUCUUCAGCCUCACCUUCUUGGGUAGUCAGGGCCCCUCUGAAACUACCCUUUUCCCUUAAGGACGGAUGGCUCUUCGUGCUUCACGUUCCCCACAGAGUAGUUUCUCCCUCCUGGCACCUCUGGUCACCCCUUUUUUGUCUGCCCCCCUCUCCUUCCAAAACGACCGCCCUUCUGCCUCUCUGUCACCUCCUUGAAGGGAUCCUGCCACCUCUCUGGGAGCCUUUUCCCUAAGGACUCGUGAGCAAGCAGCCAGAUGGCAUAAACCAGUAAAGGCCAAAUAAUUCAUCAUUCCACAGACUUGUGAUAGACUGUCCCCUAGAUGAAGCCAGGAUGGUUGAAAAUCUUUCCAUGCUGCUAGAGGUAGAAGUCGGUCUUUUCUGGAAUUGUUUUAUAAACUGUUGACUUUAUGUUUAACAACAUAGCAGUGUUUCUUUAAAAACAACAUCACAAGUAGCCUACAGAUAAACCGUGAAGAACAGUUAAUUGCCCUUCAACUAAAAUAACUCUGUGACGGAUCGUCAACGGAAGAACUGAGAGCAGCACUAUCUGUCAGUCAUCCAAAGCCAACCAACUAUUUGGAGGACUAUACCAGCAUCACUACCUCAUUAGAUUAUUGGUUCACAUAUAGUGUUAGCCCAGCCUUUCCCAUGCAACACAGUGAGCAUAUUACGUGCAUUGUGCUCAUUCCUCCAUUCUUCCAGACUUUUGUCAUGUGGCUGUCAACUGUGCAUGAGAAACACAUAAAAGAUCCAUUUCUUAGGCUUGAUUAUGCACUUUCCCCAGGCUUGGUACAGUGGCCAAUUGAAUGACAUGAAAAGUUGCAGAUUGGGGUGACAGGAUGGGAAGAAUGAUAGAAUUCUGAUGAGUAUUCUUAUAAAUCCUCAGGAGACAGCACUGACUGGCUCACGCUGGGACACCCUUUUCAGGUACUUGUGAAAUAAGCUGUUAUUUCAAGUAAGCCCAAGCCACAUAAUUUAUGAUGUUAUUUAUGUUAUUUUCAUAUUUUUGAUCCAAGCUGCUAGCCAGUUUGGAGAUUAAUGGGUUGCAUGUAUUAGAAGAUGGUUACAUGAUGAUGCUAGAUAUUGCCUUGAUGAAGUCCUGUUUAUUUACAAAGCAUGAAAAAGACUUGUUUCCUAGAGCAUUGGAUUAAGUAAACCACGGAUUUUUGUACACAGUGUCCAAACUAUUCUGACAAAAAAAAAAAAAAAAGUGCUUUCAAAGUUUUCUCUUGCAUCAGCAGUCUCGAAAUGUGGUUUUUCUUUUUCCCCCUCUGUGUCCCUAAUAUGUGUAUGUGUUUGGUUUUUUUCUCUCACACAAACACAAAGCUCCAGAUUUCAAAUGCCCUUUUGCACUUUCUGUGUCAGUCCAGAGGGAAACCAUGCAGAUAAUGUGCAAUGUACAGAAGCUUUGCCAUGUGCUUAUCAUUUGAGUAAUAGUUGCUGUUGUUUCAGUUCUCUGAUUCUAGAGGAGCAUUUGUUUAUUUCUGUGCUUAUUUUAAGGAACAGUUAUGGUUACUGACCAAUUUCUAUGAAAUUCCAUGAAACAGACCUUCAUGUCAGCUUAGCAGGACAUUCACACCAGUAAUUUGAAUAUUGAUUUUACCUGAACACCUCCAGUGAAACAUUUUGAGGGUGCAACAUUCUUUUUAGGGCCUUCGUAUUUCCUUGUUCUGAAAAAUAACCUUCCUCCCUUGUAUAUCAAGGACAUAAGCUUGCUGCCUAGGACUGUUUUUGUACAUUUAUCUUUGUAUUUUAUUUCCUCAUGUGAAAAUGGGCAUUUUGAACAAUGGGAAACCAUGUAUAGCACAUGGUGAUAUCUGAAAGCCUUAAUUUUAAGAACAAUUACAUCCUAAGUGCAUCUGUCAAGCGAGUGAAAAACCUCUAGAUCAAAUAGGACUGACAAAAUAGAUGAAGAUGUAAUUACUUCUGGUUCAGUCUCCUAUUCUCUUCAUGAGGUUUAAAGCCUUUCCUAGUGCUACUUGGUGUGGUUCUCUGCAUCCCACUGACUUGCUCCAAUGGACUGAAUAAAUAAUUUUACCUUUGUGUACAGUUUCUCUGUAUUAUAAUGGCAGUUUUUUACCUCUGCUGGGUAUCAUGAGGCCAAUAUAUUCAGUAUAUGUAAAGUAUGAGAAGUUGGGCAAAAUGCAGAAACACAGAAUGUCACCAAAAACUAAAUCUUUUAGCUGUACUGUCCUGUACAAAGAUAAUGGAC